UUUCCGCUGACGAGUGGCGCACGGGUGCGCAACGCGUAUAGAACCUACCCUGUACAGGGGGAUAGCCCGGAGAAAUUCGGAUUAAUACCCCGUAGUAAUGAUUAUCGGCAUCGGUGAUCAUUUAAAGUUUCGGCGGUACAGGAUGGCUAUGCGUCCUAUUAGCUAGAUGGCGAGGUAACGGCUCACCAUGGCUAUGAUAGGUAGGGGCCCUGAGAGGGGGAUCCCCCACACUGGUACUGAGACACGGACCAGACUCCUACGGGAGGCAGCAGUGAGGAAUAUUGGACAAUGGGCGAAGGCCUGAUCCAGCCAUGCCGCGUGCAGGAAGACAGCCCUAUGGGUUGUAAACUGCUUUUAUACGGGAAGAAUAAUGCCCACGUGUGGGCAGAUGACGGUACCGUAAGAAUAAGGACCGGCUAACUCCGUGCCAGCAGCCGCGGUAAUACGGAGGGUCCGAGCGUUAUCCGGAAUCAUUGGGUUUAAAGGGUCCGCAGGCGGGCGAUUAAGUCAGGGGUGAAAUGGUACGGCUCAACCGUAGCACUGCCCUUGAUACUGGUUGUCUUGAGUCAUAGUGGAGUGGCCGGAAUAUGUAGUGUAGCGGUGAAAUGCAUAGAUAUUACAUAGAACACCGAUCGCGAAGGCAGGUCACUAACUAUCGACUGACGCUGAUGGACGAAAGCGUGGGGAGCGAACGGGAUUAGAUACCCCGGUAGUCCACGCCGUAAACGAUGGAUACUAGCUGUC
rnacentral:rRNA from 1 species